UAACUAGUUCAUUAGGAAGGGUAUAAAUGGAGUACCCUAUGCUCAUAAAAUUUAUGCUCCUGAGGAAGCUGGAUUAUACCAGUGAAACGCGUUGAGCUUACUCUAUCCAUCUGGACUUGAGCUUACUUUAUCUGUCUGGACUCUGUUCUCCAAAUCGGCCCUCAAAGCCGUGUCAUCCUUCGGCAUAAUUUGGACUUCUCUCCCAUCACUGGACCUUAUCAUCAAAUUGGUCUACUUCACCCCUACAGCUACUAAAGGACUUGUUCCAACGCUGAUGCUUACCAACGUGGGGAUCUGGCCAUGUCAAAAAUACAUCGAGGACCAAAAAACAUGGGUGCUGCAACCAAAGAUAGAAUCUGGAGGGACAUCACUCAUUCUGUGAAUGAAGUCGGCUCUAUAGUCCGAACAUCACAGGAAGUUAGAAGACGUUGGGCCGACUUCAAAUCCCGCCUGAAGGGCAAGAGGUCUGCGGAGUGGAAUGCCUCGAGGGCUACAGGGGGAGGACCAGCUGCCACUGUGGAGUUCACAGAUCUGGAGGAGAUGGCGAUGGACUGUGUCAGUUAUGAGGAGGGGGUAGGGGUGUCUCAUGUGGACACGGACCUGCCUGAAAUACUGACGGCACAUGACU